CCCUUAGAUGUUCUGGGCCGCACGCGUGCUACACUGAGUGGAUCAGCGGGUCAGGUUGCGCGAAAGUGUUUCCUAAUCUUUAAAUCCGCUCGUGAUGGGGAUUGGCGGUUGCAAUUUUCCGUCAUGAACGAGGAAUACCUUGUAAGCGCGGGUCAUCAUCCCGCGCUGAAUACGUCCCUGCCCUUUGUACACACCGCCCGUCGCUCCUACCGAUUGAGUGGUCCGGUGAGGCUUUGGGAUCUGAGCGGAAAGAGCGUUUCGCUGUUUCUGCCAGGAAAACUCAGUCGAACCUUAUCAUUUAGAGGAAGGAGAAGUCGUAACA
rnacentral:rRNA from 1 species